UACGUAGGUGGCAAGCGUUGUCCGGAAUUAUUGGGCGUAAAGCGCGCGCAGGCGGUCCUUUAAGUCUGAUGUGAAAUCUCCGGGCUUAACUCGGAACUGCCAAGUGAUACUGUCGUGCUAGAGUGCAGAAGGGGCAAUCGGAAUUCUUGGUGUAGCGGUGAAAUGCGUAGAUAUCAAGAGGAACACCAGAGGCGAAGGCGGAUUGCUGGGCUGACACUGACGCUGAGGCGCGAAAGCUAGGGUAGCAAACGGG
rnacentral:rRNA from 1 species